GACGAACGCUGGCGGCGUGCCUAAUACAUGCAAGUAGAACGCUGAAGGAGGAGCUUGCUCUUCUGGAUGAGUUGCGAACGGGUGAGUAACGCGUAUGUAACCUGCCUGUUAGCGGGGGAUAACUAUUGGAAACGCUAGCUAAUACCCCAUAAGAGUUUUUGUUGCAUGACAUUUACUUAAAAGUUGCAAUUGCAUCACUACCAGUUGGACCUGCGUUGUAUUAGCUAGUUGUUGGUGUAAAGGCUUACCAAGGCGACGAUACAUAGUCGACCUGAUAGGGGGAGAGGGCCAAAUGGGAAUGGGAACAGGGCCAAAAGCCUAAGGGAGGGAGGAGGAGGGAAACGUCGGGAAUGGAGGGAAGGCUGACCGAAGAAAGGCGGGUGAGUGAAGAAGGUUUUCGGAUCGUAAAGAUCUGUUGUAAGAGAAGAAAGAGUGUGAGAGUGGAAAGUUCACACUGUGACGGUAUCUUACCAGAAAGGGACGGCUAACUACGUG
rnacentral:rRNA from 1 species